rnacentral:lncRNA from 1 species
AUGCGGUUCAGUGCGAUGGGAUGCCUCCUCCAUCUGACUGGGGACUCGGGUCUCGGUUUAAGGUUCUCACUCAGCAGGUCCAGAUGCAGGGGUGCGAAAAGAAUCGAGGCUCCUUCAUACAUCCCAGCCCGCAGUUCCAGCGAAAUGACUGGCACGCCGUAUUCCCGGCCACUGCACCCCCCACCCUUUGCUCUGCCAAAAGGCUCGUCCCGUUACGGAAAUGCUAAGUCCCAACGGGCUGGAGAACCGAGCGGCACCGGUAAGGGUGCGGCCGCGCUGACAGCCAAGGUCCCAAGGCUGCGCAGGGGCUCCCGCGCCGCCCGCUGCGGGGGAGGGCGCAGCCCGCAAAGCGCUGCACGCGGCCCGCGCGAGGGGGCCCAGGCUAGUGGUUCGGCGGUGAUGUGGCUCUCGCCACCGCGUGGUCUGGUGCCGACCGCACACCACACCCUCACCCCCGCCAAGCCAGGGGUCCCAGCCUGCGCGCACCUGGCUGUGGGCGCGCCGGGUAGCGAGGCCCAGUCUUGCCCAGGGCCCAGGAAAAAAGCACAGCCCGCAGAUGAGGGCAGAGAACGGAACAAGCGGGUGGCCCAGGCGUGCUGGGGCCGUGGUCGCCCCCGCGGUCUCGCGCGGCCCGCAGACAGGCAAGCCCCUGCGCCCUUUGCGGGGCUGGCUAGGGCGCCGGCGAGGGCCUGGCUCCUUCGCAGCAGGCAAAGCCGCAGCGGCUGGCAGCGCGCCGCGUGUCUCUGCCGCGGCAAAGCGCUCUGCAGGGGCGGGGCGGGCGUUUCUGGCCCCUGGCCCCGGCGUCCAGGCCUGAGCCCGCCGCGGGUUGGCCCGGCGCCCUGUUGUGCAAGUACCCAGCGUCGCCCGGCUGUGUGGGCGAUCCAGGAGGAUGGGCCCGCCCAGCUUAGGCCCACGGGGUGCGUGCCCAACUCUCGGCCUCGUCUGCCCUGCAUCCCUAACCCCUUUGCUGGUGAACCUGAAAAGCACCUGCGUCCUGGAACCCAAGGUUUGGAGCAUGGUAGCUUUAGAAGGCUUUAUAAAGUUCAUGCAAAAUGCGUAAUACGGAAAAAAAAAAUUGGCAUGGGUUCCCCCCCUCCAAAAAAUUUUACACCAAAAUAA